rnacentral:rRNA from 1 species
GAUGAACGCUAGCGAAGGCUUAACACAUGCAAGUCGAGGGCCCGGCGGAUGGGUGCGUAACGCGUAUGCACCUUGCCUCACAGUGGAAAAUAACCCGGAGAAAUCCGGACUACUGCUCCAUACUUUGAGCUAGGCAUGCGUCCUAUUAGGGAGUUGGUGAGGUAACGGCUCACCAAGCCGACGAUAGGUAGGGGUGCUGAGAGGCAGACACCCUACGUUGGGAAUGAGACACGGCCCAAAAUAGUACGGGAGGCAGGAGGGACGAAUAUUGGUCAAUGGAGGAAAAUCUGAACCAGCCAAGUGGCGUGAAGGAAGAAUGUCUAAGGAUUGUAAACUUCUUUAGAGAGUGAGUAAGUAGCUCGAGAAUAAGGAUCGGCUAACUCCGUGCCAGCCGCCGCGGUAAUAC